ACAUAUUUAUAAAUAUUAACCAAUAAAGUUGUUAAACAAUCACUAGGUCUGCAAGAGAACUUCCAAUAAAACCGCCAAGUUUUAAUUAACGUUACAAAUGAACAUUGUACGCGUUUUCCAUGUACGCGUUUUCCAUGUACGCGUUUUCCAUGUACGCGUUUUCCAUGUACGCGUUUUCCAUGUACGCGUUUUCCAUGCACGCGUGUACGUGUACGCGUGUACGUGCACGCGUUUUCCAGACAACCCAAAUCAUUUCG